GACGAACGCUGGCGGCGUGCCUAAUACAUGCCAGUAGAACGCACAGUUUAUACCGUAGCUUGCUACACCAUAGACUGUGAGUUGCUAACGGGUGAGUAACGCGUAGGUAACCUGCCUGGUAGCGGGGGAUAACUAUUGACAACGAUAGCUAAUACCGCAUAAUAUUAAUUAUUUCAUGAUAAUUAAUUUAAAGGUGCAAUUGCACCACUACCAGAUGGACCUGCGUUGUAUUAGCUAGUAGGUGAGGUAACGGCUCACCUAGGCGACGAUACAUAGCCGACCUGAGAGGGUGAUCGGCCACACUGGGACUGAGACACGGCCCAGACUCCUACGGGAGGCAGCAGUAGGGAAUCUUCGGCAAUGGACGAAAGUCUGACCGAGCAACGCCGCGUGAGUGAAGAAGGUUUUCGGAUCGUAAAGCGCUGUUGUAAGAGAAGAACGGGUGUGAGAGUGGAAAGGUCACACUGUGACGGUAUCUUACCAGAAAGGGACGGCUAACUACGU
rnacentral:rRNA from 1 species